AAACAAAUCUAAAAAACUUUUGCUUCCUCCCUCACAGCCGAUCCCAAUUUGUUCGUCUCUUCUUUCACUCUCAUCCCUCUCAGUCUCAAUUCCUCUCUGUCUCAAUCCCUCUAGAUCUCAAUCGUCAGUUUCAUGGAUCUACAAAGCCCUCUUAAUCGAUUUUGGCUCGAAUCACAAAUUUGGAGUUUGAUUUUAUUUGUUGCUCGCUUUCGUUGACUUAGAUUCAUGAAUAGGUUUAGAUUUAGUAGCUAUGGGUUCAUAAUUUCAAUUUUGUCUUACCUAUAUUGUUCCUCCUUGGUGAUGUGAUAUAGAGUUUGUUAAAUCCUCCGCGUUAUAGUUUCUAUUUUUUUGAUGGGUUUCUUUUGAAUUCUGUGUAACAGGUGUACGGUUUCUCUUGAGGUUCGUUGAUGGUUUGAAGAAUGAAGAAGAUUCGGAACACAAAUACCGCUUGACAUAAUGGCAAUCCGAUUCUAGUGAUGGUCUUUGACAGUCCACAAAUUCUUUAGAUGGAGCAUAUUUUCUUCGCAAAUUUGGAUAUGAUGCAUGACAAGAACUCGAGCCUGGAAAGAGGUAAAUGGGUACUAACUCUUGUUAUUCUUAGACUAGAUCGUGCUGCAUUUUAUGUCCUAUGGAGUCUAAAAGGUAAAUGUAUCAGUUCCUAAAUGUACUGAGUUAUUUAGCUUUAUUGUUUAGGUAAUAUAUAUAUGCAGUGUACUUUUCUUAUAACUUCUACAGCUUCUAAUAUGUGUUCUCGUUUUUUUGUUCAAUACCCUUAUAGAGAACCAGCUCGGUGUUUGAUCAAAACUAGACUCAAUACAGCUCUAAGAUUCAUAGUUUUGUUCUUAUUGGUGGAAGAACUCAAUCUCUUAUGUUGAUAACUUGAGUGUUUGUUCAAUUUUUGAUGAUAAUCUUUAUUAUUUGUUCUUCGCUUUUUGUGACCAUGAUGAUGCUGAGAUUGUUUAUGGGAUGGUGCAGGUCUGCAGGAAGUUUUCAUAAAUAUAAAAAGGAGGUCGACACAUCUUGAUCUUGUUGUGUGAUGAAACGACAUAAUCUUUGUGUGGAUUUAGCCUCAAAAGAACAAUGCACUUGUUGGAGCUCACAUUGUUCAGCCAAUGAAGAAAGCUUUGAGCCAUUAACAGAUCACAAUUUGUGGUCUUCGUUAAUUUUAUUUUUUUUUUAUAUACCAUUUAUCAAUUUUGAUCUUUCAAUU